GACAUGCAGGUGAUCGCCGUUGAAAGACGGUUUCCUCUUCGGAGGCACCUGCACAGGUGCUGCAUGGCUGUCGUCAGCUCGUGUCGUGAGAUGUUGGGUUAAGUCCCGCAACGAGCGCAACCCUUAUCCCCAGUUGCCAUCAGGUAAAGCUGGGAACUCUGGGGAGACUGCCGGUGAUAAACCGGAGGAAGGCGGGGGAUGACGUCAAGUCCUCAUGGCCCUUACAUCCCGGGCUACACACGUGCUACAAUGGCAGGUACAGAGGGCUGCGAAGCCGCGAGGUGGAGCGAAUCCCAGAAAACCUGUCUCAGUCCGGAUUGAAGUCUGCAACUCGACUUCAUGAAGGCGGAAUCGCUAGUAACCGCGAAUCAGCAGGUCGCGGUGAAUACGUUCCCGGGCCUU
rnacentral:rRNA from 1 species